UAUAUAUUGCUUUGAAAUUAAUAUAAAAAUUGAACGAAACAUGUCGACAUCCGAUUCUGAGUCGAGUAAAGCAACAACAGCGGAAAAUAUUGAAUUGAAUAGUCGGUAAUUCGAUUUAGAAGACGAAGAUCAAUCGUCGUCAAAUGCGCUCCGAAACACCGAUGGCGAUUUUGAGUACGGCCAAGCUGCAGCGUAUGAAAACGAACCACUUGCUGAUGAUGAAUGGUUAGAAAACUAUAAUAGAGAGACUGAAGAACAAAGACGCCAAACAGAAGAGCUCGAACGCAAAUGAAGUUCCUCUUGAUUCUUGGUGCAAUUGUGGUAAGUGCCGUGUUCCUCACUUGGUUAAUCUAAAAGAAUGCAGAUGUUGCCACGAAAUUAUCAAUUGCAUUUAUUGAAAUGCAAGAUCAUAUGGUGGUAUACGAAUUAGGAAGGAAGCCAAAAUGCAUCACAGAGCAUCCAGGAUUUGAUGCCAUUUGCCUCAAUCGAUGGGCAUUAAAUUUAGCUGCCAAUCUUUACCAAAGAUGAGAUGGAGUUAGAUAUUGUAAAGGAUUCUUGGAGCAAAGAUGACCAAGAUGACAUCGCCUCUGUUGACAAUUUUCCAGUUAUAACAAAACCCAUUCCCUGAACGUUACAGUACUGCCAAAUUUUCUCAAUACAAAGAAUUAUUGAAAACGAAACAUUUGGGUCACGUGAUGAUAUAUACUGACGUCAUCACAUCCACACAAACCAUCGUGAAUGGAAUUCUGAGAUUACUGAAAGAAUCACCUCGUGGUCUUGGAGUUGUUGUUAUUGCAAGACAACAGACAGUUGGAAAAGGUCGUGGAGGAAACGCUUGGCUAUCUCCGGAUGGUUGUCUUUCAUUUUCAUUUCCUUUGGAAAUUGAACUUAAUUCUAAUCUUGGUCAACGUCUUCCAUUUGUACAACAUAUCGCAGCCCUAGCCAUUGUUGAUGCUGUGAGGGACAUAUCUGGAUAUCAGGAUUUAAAUCUCCGAAUCAAAUGGCCCAAUGACAUCUAUUUUUGAAAUAAAACAAAAAUUGGUGGUGCUCUGGUCAACUCUAUUAUUCAAGGAAGAUGUCUUUGGGCUGUCAUAGGGAUUGGAAUAAAUAUUGACAACCAUCAGCCAACAACUUGUAUUAACGAAAUCAUCUAGCAACACAAGUUAUCGAAAAAAAAUCAGCAAAGAAGAGCUUCUUGCUAGAAUUCUUAACAAAAUGGAAGAACUCGUAGAAGACUUUCAGCUCAAUGGACCCGAAAUGUUUCUUCAAAAAUACUACUCACGCUGGCUACACAGGGAGUCUAAAAUAAAACUGGAUAACGAAGAUGAUGAAAUAGUUACAAUCAAAGAUCAUCUAUGGACUACUUACAUAUAACAAACCCCCCAUUGACUAUUCACUGGUUUUACUGCAAUCCAUUGCACUUCCCUGCACACUGCACUAAUGGUAGGUUGUAUCUCAUGGUAGGAAUGAUCACUGAAAACAGACUGCAUCGUUGAUGUGGAUUCUGCAAUCAUAAAAGAAAUUGGAUGAGAUAAAUAUAACGUGUAAAUAAUCAUUCACAAGUUUUAACAUUAUUUUUGCUUGUAAAGCUGUGCUGGUUAAUGCCCAUAUGUAAUAAGAACAAUGUCGACCAAGGAUCUUGUAAAAACGCAGAAAGAUGACUUCACAAGGGUUUGAAAUGUACAAUAAACUGAUAUUUAAGGAUGAAGACAUUUCCUCCCAUACCACAUGAAGAACCUUAGAUUGAAAAAUAAGCCAAAUACAAAUUUGAGACAUUCACUA